AUACGGAGGGUGCAAGCGUUGUUCGGAAUCACUGGGCGUAAAGGGCGCGCAGGCGGUUUGGUAAGUCAGAUGUGAAAGCCCACGGCUCAACCGUGGAAGUGCAUUUGAAACUGCCAGACUUGAGUACCAGAGGGGAAAGUGGAAUUCCCGGUGUAGAGGUGAAAUUCGUAGAUAUCGGGAGGAAUACCGGUGGCGAAGGCGACUUUCUGGCUGGAUACUGACGCUGAGGCGCGAAAGCGUGGGGAGCAAACGGGAUUAGAAACCCUAGUAGUCC
rnacentral:rRNA from 1 species